rnacentral:rRNA from 1 species
AUUGAACGCUGGCGGCAGGCCUAACACAUGCCAGUCGAGCGGAUGAAGGGAGCUUGCUCCUGGAUUCAGCGGCGGACGGGUGAGUAAUGCCUAGGAAUCUGCCUGGUAGUUGGGGAUAACGUCCGGAAACGGGCGCUAAUACCGCAUACGUCCUGAGGGAGAAAGUGGGGGAUCUUCGGACCUCACGCUAUCAGAUGAGCCUAGGUCGGAUUAGCUAGUUGGUGGGGUAAAGGCCUACCAAGGCGACGAUCCGUAACUGGUCUGAGAGGAUGAUCAGUCACACUGGAACUGAGACACGGUCCAGACUCCUACGGGAGGCAGCAGUGGGGAAUAUUGGACAAUGGGCGAAAGCCUGAUCCAGCCAUACCGCGUGUGUGAAGAAGGUCUUCGGAUUGUAAAGCACUUUAAGUUGGGAGGAAGGGCAGUAAGUUAAUACCUUGCUGUUUUGACGUUACCAACAGAAUAAGCACCGGCUAACUUCGUG